CUCAUUUGUCCUGUCAAGAGAAUGACAGGCCGGUUGACUCUUCCCCAGAUACGACCAUUAGGUAACGCUCUGUCAUCUGACAGCGAGGCAUUCUGCCGCUCCCUAAAAACCCCCUAAUUAUUUCCUUCGCCAGAGACAGGCGGUGGCGGGUAGGUAAUUUUUAACCUUUCACGUGCACCUGGGGAACCCUCCUCCGGGGAGCCAAGGUGCCUGUGUGGCAUUCAGUCAUCAAAACAUGACCUUUUAUGGCCGUUCGGAGAGCAGUUGGCACCGGGUGCCAUGCGUCGGCUAAUGCUAAUGUUGAUGACUAAUUUAUGCAUCAGCCGACCGCAUCUGCAGCAAGUUUAGGGUAGCAACAAUGUGUGAUAGAGCAGUGAGAGGGGAAAGGAGAGGAGAGGAGGGGGCAUAGCUGCAGAGCAAGCAGAGGUGAAAGGCAUUUUGGGGGAAGGGGUGGGGCUUUUGAGACACCGGGUAGCCUGGCACGACAGGGAAUUGAGGGGGCUAAUUAUGUUGCAGGGAAUACAUUCAGCGUGACCAGCGAGCCUUUUUAGAAUUUGUCGAGCGCAAUCUGACUAACGUGGCUGACCUUUACUUUUUUUUUUUUUUUUUGACCAAAUUGCGGAAGACCACAGAGCAUGCAAGAUGUGUGCAUAUUCUAUGACCUAAUUGCCUUUUUUCUUGUAAGGCCAAAAGCUGCCCAGUACCACCACCAUCAAAAAUAAGCAUGGAUGUCACAAUGACCUAUCACUAGUGCACACCUGCAGAACAUUUACAGUAAACCUACCAUGAAGUUACAGUAAAUGUAAAACAUUCACAAUACACGUACAGUAGAUAUAGAUAGUUUACAGCAAUGUACAGCAGAUAUAGAAUGUUUUCAUUAAACUUACAAUAAAUGUACAGUAGCUAUAGAAAAUUUACAGUAAAUAUACCUAAAUGUACAGAAGAUAUUAAAAGUUUGCAGAAGACUUACCGUAAAUGUAUAAUUCUAUUCAAUUUUACAAUUUUAUUUAUACAGCACCAAAUCAAAACAACAGUCGCCUCAAAGGCACUUUAUUUUGUAAGGUAAACCCUACAAUAUUACAUACAGAGGAAAAACCCAACAAUCAUAUGACCUCCUAUGAGCAAGCACUUCUUCUAUAGUCUUAAAAUGUUUCGAAAUACAGGUCACAAAGUGCUUCACUUAAAACACAGUGAAUACACUUUGCUAAACAAGCUUGCAAGCCAGUAUUAGCUUUGGCUACCCAU
ensembl:lncRNA